ACACUUUUGUGUGUAUGUGUGUGUGUGUGUGUGUGUGUGUGUGUGUGUGUGUGUGUGUGUGUGUGUGUGUGUGUGUGUGUGUUUCAGCUGUGUGAAAGCCAGAGGGUGGUGAUUGUGGACCUCGGCGCAGAGCCUCAGCGUGUGGAGAUUGUAAACCUUCACUCUUUUGAGGAUGAUGAAAGCAGAGACCAAGAUCUGACUAGCUCACCAACAAACACCACCACUGACAACAGUUUCCAGACUCCUGAGCCUGAGACGCCGAGCCCGGAGCCGAGGGAGGACGAACCAGACGCAACGCAACAGAGCGCCAGAGAGGAGAAGCUGGAGCUAACAGCAGACGACAAGAAACACAACAACAACAACAUGUUGGCUUCGCAGACGUUCACCUUGGUGAGCAGAGACACGUGAGCGUUGCCGGCCUCGACAUCCACACUGGGGGCCCAUAAAGCCCAAAUGUAGCCUGCCUGCACAGAGCAUGCUCCACGGCUUCCUGCGUUUACAACAGGACUAUUUUGAUACUACUGUUACAUGCCCACAAGGAGACUGAGACUGAGAGGAUGACAGCCCUGACAACACACGGGCCUCCAUCACUUCCAGACAGAGAGAGAGGCAGAUGUCCUGUAUCUUAACACCUGUUAGAUCUGUCCAUACUGAUAUGUCCCUGGGCAAAACACCAACAUAUGGAGUCAGAUUUGUCUCAAAACAUUUCUGCAUAAAAAUAAGAUUGUGAAAUGGUCAUAUAAAAGUUACAAAUGAUGUUUGAGCUGAAAUAUACUUGCGCAACCCCAGAAGGAGUUUUGAGAGUUUUUUCUGGUUUCAAUAUGAGUCUCCAGCUCAGUCGCGGCCAGGGGAAAGUAACUGGCCAGGCAUUUGGUUUUUAUAGGCGGGCCCUGACAAUCUAAUUCUUUUUUUCAGACUUUUCAAGUCAACAACAGAUUCAUAUUGAUAUUCAAUAUUAUGUAGGUUUAUAUGGUAAAAAGACUACCUUGAAAUGAUAUUUACUGUAUAUUUUAAUGAUACUUAAAAUUCGGUUCAUAUAAAUGAAUUGUGAGCCGAUAGUGCAGCCUAUUAUUUAUCUGAAUGGCAAAGUUGUGUAGUCUCCCACUAUUAGACCUUACAAUUCAGACGCAAGCAGUCCAAGGCCUAAGUCAGUUAUUAGUGCAAAACAAAAACACAAAAAACAGCGACAUCGUGACAGCUGCAUGAUCAGCGCCAUGGACAGCAAGACUACGACUAUAGGGGGCAUGUUAUUCUACCCUCUCACAUAUCUAUUACUCCAUAUUGGCAAACACACACUGAAAAAGACCCAAUAUUUGUAACCACCUAAAAGCUGUAAGACAAUUCAGGAAAAACACCUUACACAAAAAUGAUAGGAAUAAUGAGAUGACUAACUUACUACUCUUCUGUGGCUCAGGCUGGGCCUUAUAUAGCUGCAGCCGCCAUUUUCCAGAUAAAUAGAAUCUCCGCAGUGAAGUGUUUUUUGACUCUGUGUUGCAAUUCUUGGUCAGGUCUUAGAAGCACCGACGGUUAGGGCAACCCAAGAUGCUGUGAGGACACUUGGCAUUGCCUCAAGAGCCCUGUGGACAUUACUGAGCAGUGUUUUCAGUGUCCAUCAUCUGGAGGUGUGGAACUGUGUGUUUGAGAAUGAUCUGUCGGGUGCGUGGGUCAGUGUAAGCAGGGGUUCCACUUUUACUGAGUCCAGGAAGGAGCUGCUCUCCAGGUCGAGUGAAGCAAUGGAUUCCAUGAUUGCACUGUUUCGGUCCGUGUACUUGGCAGCCAACGGAUUUUUGUUUUGAAAUUAUAAAAACAAAAUCGAGAAACGAGCUGUAUUCCCACUACCAUUUAGAUGUAGUUCAUGCAUCUGUGAUCUCCUGGUUUUCUUGUGUUUCUUAGUUUCUGGUAAUGGUGCGCUUUCCUCUGCUCUGGCGGCUGUUUGUCGCUUCCAUCUGCUCUGUGCAGCUGGAAGACUGUUUGAACGUCCUUUUUCUUCCGACUGUAGUGUCCUGUUGGGUGGCUCAAGAAUGAACAAUAUCUUACGCACCAUAAGGGCGUGAAUUCUAAAGCUGGGUUUGGAUAUUGUACAUCCUUGGGAAUGAUGCAGGGUUUCAACAUGAGUCAACACUGUAGAUACAUCCAGAGAUGUGCCCAGUCCUGUCCAGUGCUGUUCAAAUCAAAGCUCCAGUGUCUUCCCCUGAUAUUGGGCUGCAGCGGUGGGCUUUUUUGUGUACUUGUGUAGGACAUUAUAGAUACUGAAUAAAUCCUCAAUAGCCUUCUCACCGGACAUGGCGUGAACAACGAUCAAGUGGAGUUGGUGGUUAAAGCAGUGAACAUUUGGGAUUUCUCUGCCCAGCUCACGUUGAAGAAGUCUUUGAACCCCAGCGAUUGGACAGGCCCCAUCGUAAACUUGGCUAAGUAUUUUGUCUGUGCUCAGGCCAGCGAAAUUCCGAAAAAAAGUACCCCUGUGAGACAUUUUGCAUCGCCUGCAUCUGCUGUGGCAAUCGUCAAGAACCUCUCUCUUAUAGUGUAGCUUUGGUCAACAAAACGCAGUACAAUAGAAAUAUUUCCACAGCCCGUUGGGUCUUGGGUUCCCUCCAUUUUGUGUAAAAAGCUUGGCUCAACAAUAUGCUCUGUCACCAGUUUGCUCACCAGUUCUACUAUUUCAUUUUGAAUGUCAUGGUUUAUGUAUGUUGCAUUAUUGGGAAUGGUAGGGCCAGUUUUUGCCAGCUCUGGGUCUUGCAUAUUUCUCCUGGGAGGGCCAAACUAGAGCGAAGAUAAUGACCUCUUCUGAAGAGUCCAUCAUGUUUUUUUAAUCCUCCGUGUCUCCUUGGCUACUAGCAACUGAGUGGAGGGCGGGGCGUGCGCGAUCAUGGAAGGCUUGUAUCAUGUGGACACACCGACAGUGUUGUUGUCAUUACUUAGAAUUCCUCAUGGGGGAGACAGAAACUACGCACUAUAGCUUUUAAACAUGUUAAAAUGUUUUUUUGCCUUUUAGGCUGAAACACAAAAAUGGUGAACACUCAAUCCUGUUCUGUUUUCUGUGUCUUUCUUUUGUUUAUUGCUGUUGUCAUUGGCCAUAUCAUUUAAUUGCUAUAAAUAUAUAGAAUGAAACCAUUUCACAAUCUUGACCGGAUGUACGACUUGUUUGGGGGCAAUAUAGCUCCAUAAAUAUGUGUUGCCAAAUGUAUACACACACACACACACAUCAAUACACAGAGCUUUUGAUACCUUACUAAGUAUUAAAGUCAUCUUAACAUAAUAAUUCUUAGAAUAUUCUACUGAUCUGGAGGAGGGGAUAUUAGCUGUGACUGAGUUGCUGGAGGGGAGUGUACAGCUUGGAGCAUUUGAGAAGUCUCACCAGAUGGGCUAAGCACCAAAACUCGCCACACAUGCAGUGCUUUACUUUAACCCCAAAGUGACCGCCGAUGCUCUUGGAUUUUAACCGCUCCCAUUUUGAUUCUUAGUGUUUUUAUUUGACACCAGAGACUCCGUUAUCACUCUAUUUUCAUUUUUUGCACCUGCAACAUAACAGAUUGUCCUUCAUUGGAUAGACAUAUAUAAAUAUAUAAAAAAGUAUAUAUAUGAACAUAAAGCAGAUUUUUACUUCAACAAGGUGCCACUUCAUGCUGCUGAUUCUUUUGGACAGAACUAAGUAUUUUUCAGGGUUGUGAUUAUUUAUGUCGAGCAGACAGUCUGAAUCUCCUGAAGUCUGUUGGCGACACACGCAGUACGUGAAUGUUUUCGGAUUUCCAGUCUGCUUUUUCAGUUUGUGUCUCCUUUUUGUUUUUGGUUUACAUUACUCAGAAGUUAUACAGAGGCUGAGGACAUGACACAGAUUAGACUUUUUGGGUUUGAAUCUGUGCUAGGUGAAGAAUUGGACAAUAGCACAUGUACAAAGCAAUAAGUUGGACUUUGGAGCUCCAGGACAUAAAAGACAUUUUAAAGAGAUGUAUAAACUGUAAAAUAUAUAUAUAAACUAAAAAAGAACUAAACAAAAUAGCAUAAUUUAUGUACACACUGAAAAGAAGAAGAGCGAAUAUUCUAACUAUAAGAGGUUAUUAUUAAUAUUAUUAGGGUCAAUAUGCAAAAGGUUCAAAACCC
rnacentral:lncRNA from 1 species